rnacentral:antisense_RNA from 1 species
CGACGGGACCACCUUAUGUUGUUUCAUCAUGGUCUAAACUGAUAGCUGAACUAACUGAAU